rnacentral:rRNA from 1 species
GCAAGUAAGGUCCCAUGAAGACGACAUGGUAGAUAGGCCGGGAGUGGAAGUGCAGUGAUGCACGGAGCGGACCGGUACUAAUAGACCGAGGGCUUGACUUA